UCCAACCAUAUAAACAGAUCCCUGAUAUAACUCCAGUGUCGAUUUUUGCCAAUCAUGAAUUAAUAUACUUAUGGGCUAUUUUUGGUGCAUCAUGGAUGCCAUUAACUAUUUCCUCAUAUGUGGUUAAGCAGUCCUCCACAUAAUUUAACAUAUUUUCACAAUGUGUGGAAUAACCCGCCAUAGUUGCAAAUACAUUGCGACUCUCCAUAAAGAAAAACUUUUUUGCAUCCUCACACACUAUAGAUCCUUUUAUCCCAUUAGAUGUAGACCUUGUAUCGAC
rnacentral:lncRNA from 1 species